rnacentral:sRNA from 3 species
AUGUACCGCUCGUACACUCCGGUUCCUGCGCGCCGCCCGCACCCACCUGACGACCGCUCGCUACGUUUUGUUAGCC